UACGAAGGGGGCUAGCGUUGCUCGGAAUCACUGGGCGUAAAGCGCACGUAGGCGGAUUGUUAAGUCAGGGGUGAAAUCCUGGAGCUCAACUCCAGAACUGCCUUUGAUACUGAAGAUCUUGAGUUCGGGGAGAGGUGAGUGGAACUGCGAGUGUAGAGGUGAAAUUCGUAGAUAUUCGCAAGAACACCAGUGGCGAAGGCGGCUCACUGGCUCGUAACUGACGCUCAGGCG
rnacentral:rRNA from 1 species